AAGAAAAUUAUAGUGUUUCAUACGCUUCAUUUAAUUGUACAAAGUUACCGCACAGCUUUACUGUUUGCUUGCUGAAUGAGUGUGAAAAUAGUGGUGAAAUCAGUUGCAGGUUCCUUUCUCAGACGCCAAUUUCCACAUAUUGUGUGUGUGCAUCAUAUCGGCGAGCAACUGUUUGCUAUCAUGGGCAAGGUCGUGGCACUAGUUCUCAGCGUCGUUAUCUGUCUAGCCAUCCAACAGGCGGCAGCAAAGGAGAAACACAUCAAGUACACCGAGAAAGAUCUGCUGCGAAAGUCGAUCGUGUACGACAAAAACACGCCCGAUGUGUUCUACUGUCCCGUCAGCAAGCCGACCGGCAUGGAUAAGAUGAUCGUGAGGUCCCGUCCACUCCACAAACUCUGCGAGCACGAGGGUAAACCGCUGCCGGCGCACUACAAAUCCGACUGCUACAAUGACGUCGACGAGUCGAACUACGCCUGCAAGGAGAAGUACAGAAUAAUGAAACGGUUCGCCAAAGAUAAUGUUGAGAUCUAGGCGCGACUCGGCAUUACGAUAACGAUUUGCAACGACUUUCUCGUGCGAGCGAUAGAGCGACCUAACGUUUUGACUUUACUUAAGCAACGAUGAACCGCUAUAACGAGUGCUUCAGACGUUGUGAAACUUUAAACGACUUUUUUCUUUCCUUCUUUCUUUAUUUUCUUCGUCUUUUUGAUUUCUGCUGUAGAACUUAUCGAACACUGCUGUUGCAAUUUUAUUGAGUUACGAUUAACAUUUGCUUAGAUAAUGUUUUUUCCCCCAUUCUUCCCCUUUUCGUUAAGCUCGUUUACUACUGCCUUAGUCAAUGGUUAAUCAAUUAUACUAAAUACCAAAUCAUUACAAGUAAGACACCCAAAAUGGUAAAUUAUCUUCCGAAGAACAACGUUUAAUUUUUAACGGUUACCAAACGACGAACAGAGGAGAGCUUUCGUUGAUGAAAAAGUGUUGAAACUAACCUUUUUAAGCCACUUACUUCCUUAUCACUAUGACGCUUUAAUUCAGCGUUCUCCAGUGUUUAUAUUCAUUUAACAAGCUUCGAGUCCCCAAUUCUUUCCACAUGGUGGUGAAGGUGUUUCCUAGUGUCUUUUUUACUAACAAUUUUCUCGGUCGCUUCUAUGUAUUCUGCAUGGUGUUCUUCACUAUUUUCAAUUAACAUUCGAUGUAUCACGGUAACGACUACCUGGUAGCUUGCAAAACGUUAACUUCCCCGUACGUGACUGUGGACAUCGUUAGGCAAGACUUUCUUGUGGGACAUUUUCUACCAACCAAUACGCCUCACUGCACACGCACACAGACACAGGUUGAAAGACGGAUUUCAGUAUACAAAAUAUAUCGCUUUGCACAAGAAUUUACACACGUAAAAAAGGGAUUUAAAAACAAAACCACACCACCUGCUGCUUAAACGCCAGCUAUAAGCAUUACACGGGAAAUGGAGGCCUGGCAUAAGAAAAGAUGCGUCUCAAACCUCCCGGUAGUGACGAUCCGUACAAUGGACAACGCUUGAGCAGGUUUAUGGACAUGGAUGACGAUAUGAAGCGCAUCAAGUCGAAGAAACAUUGAGCACCAGCAUUUGUCCGAGAUGGGCGACCAGUGCUCGGCGCGAUUCACCGUUGCCCGCUUCUGCUCGCUCGCUGCCAUAUUAACAAAUCCUAACAACGAGUCCGUUUUGUUUGACGUAUUGUUGCACGAGGAAAACAUAUUCAUCCUCGCACCGAAGGGUCCAUCAAUCUUGUGAUGGACGCGUUUUUCAGUGAUAUUAGACUACGAUUGCAAGCACAUUGCUAGCCGUGAUCGAUACUGGUGAAGAAUGUUUAAUUGAUGUUAUACAGUUUGUUGACUGUUGUAUGAUGAACAGAAUAUUUUAAUGCACACGGUUUGGCCGAUGGAAUACUUAGAAGCGACUGACAACGUCUUUACGGCUUAACUCUGAUUUACUACCUACGCUGGAUUUCAAACACUCUUUACACGUGUUACUUAUUGUGGGUUGCAGCGGAGUGAAAAAUACAAUAAAACAGUUACACACUUUAUCAAAA